GCAUAAUAAAUAGUUUUUUAAUUGGAAACUGGAAUGAAAGGUUUAUACUAAGGAGAUAGUUUUAUUUGAUUAUCUUGAAUUUAAAUUAAAAGUAAAAAUGCUUUUAUAAAAUUUUGGGACGAGAAGACCCUAGAAGCUUAAAAUUAAUAAAAUUUUUGGUUGGGGUAACAUUUGAAGAGAAAAAUUUUUAGAUGAAUAAUAAAAUAUGUAAAAAGUUACUCUAGGGAUAACAGCAUAAUUUAAUUAACAAGUUCUUAUUAAUAAUUAAGUUUGUGACCUCGAUGUUGAAUUAAUU
rnacentral:rRNA from 1 species